UCGGAUACUUCAGGAGACUAUCCAUUAUGUGGCUUGGGCCAGGAAAAUAAUUAGACAUUUGGCAUUAUUUGUGGGCCAUCAAAUUUAAUUUAGUGCUGGCAAGAGGUCAGGCGUUGCCAAUGACCACGCCCCUGAACACACACAUGACUGAGGGCGGCAACCGAUGCCAGGCAGCACAUCGAGUCUCUCGGAGGCUGUUAAUUCUCAUCACGUUUAAUCUAAUGGCAGCACGUUAACUUUGAAGCGUAGAAUUGGAAUUCAAUAUGUUUUUCCUCUUAUAUAAAAUGGGUAUGCGGCUUCCUCAUACCACCCUCGCCGCCUUUUUGCUCUUUGCCAAACUUUUUCCCAUCAUCUCUAGGCAAAGUGAAUGUCUCUCUGUCUGUUUGUUUGUCUGUGUG
rnacentral:lncRNA from 1 species